rnacentral:tRNA from 1 species
UUCUUGCGUAAGUUAAUAUGUUUAGACUGUAAGCUUGUGGAGCUUAAUGUUUCGUGUGAACGUGGGAAG